GACGAACGCUGGCGGCGUGCCUAAUACAUGCAAGUCGAACGAACCGCGACUAGGUGCUUGCACUUGGUCAAGGUGAGUGGCGAACGGGUGAGUAACACGUGGGUAACCUACCUCAUAGUGGGGGAUAACAGUCGGAAACGACUGCUAAUACCGCAUAGGACAUGGGAUCACAUGAUUCUGUGAGGAAAGGUGGCGCAAGCUAUCGCUAAGAGAUGGACCCGCGGUGCAUUAGCUAGUUGGUAGGGUAACGGCCUACCAAGGCGAUGAUGCAUAGCCGACCUGAGAGGGUGAUCGGCCACAUUGGGACUGAGACACGGCCCAAACUCCUACGGGAGGCAGCAGUAGGGAAUCUUCCGCAAUGGACGAAAGUCUGACGGAGCAACGCGGCGGGAGUGAAGAAGGUCUUCGGAUCGGAAAGCGCUGUUGUUAGAGAAGAACAGCGCAUAGAGUAACUGUGACGCGUGUGACGGUAUCUAACCAGAAAGCCACGGCUAACUACGUG
rnacentral:rRNA from 1 species